CCGGCACACAGGGAAUGUUGGGGUUUAUGAGAGAGGUAACCCAGACCCAGAAGGACGCACAUGGUAUAUACUCGCUUAUAAGUGGAUAUUAGCCACACAGCACGGGAAAACCGGAUUACAAUCCACAGAGCCAAAGAAGCUAAGUAACAAGGACUGCCCAAGAGAGAACGCACGAAUUUCAGAGAAGGGAAAUAGACAGGAAGUGCCUGACGAGAGGAAACAGGACAGUGUUCAGUAUGGUGUGGUGGGGGUUGGGACUGGAGGGAGGGAAGGCUGGAAAGUGUGGAAGGUCACGGGGUGUGGGGUUUAGACUGAGGUUUGGAAGUUUUAGAAGGUUGAAAGGUGUGGGGAGUGUGCUGGGGGCCAGAGGGUGUGAAGGGUCGACGAUUUGGAGGGUGGAGGGUGUUAGAGGUGUGGAAAGCUGCAGGCAGAGUGUAGAGGGUUGGAGGGAGCAGAGGGUUGGGAGUCAGAGAGGGUUGGAGGAUGAGGAGCAGUGGUCCUCAACCCUCCUAAUGCUGUGACCCUUUAAUACAGUUCCUCAGGUUGUGGUGCCCCCCCCCCUUGUUAAAAUUACUUCAUUGCUACUUCACAACUGUAAUUUUGUUACUGUCGUGAAUUUGUUACUCUUGUGAACCUGUGUUUUCUGACUGGCUUAGGUGACCCCUGUGAGACGGUCAUUUAACCCUCCAAGGGGUCACAACCCCCAGGUUGAGAAGCACUGGUGUAGAGGGUUGAAGGUUUGGGGGUGCGCAGCGUUGCCAUCAGGGUGUGGGCAGUUGGAGGAUGUAGAAAGUUGGGGUGAUACAGCUGCAUCUGAAGAGCCGCGGCUUCGGAAGCGGGGAGAGGUUUCUCUGGCACCUUCAUAGGCAGUGGGGCCUUGCCACUAACUGGAUCUUGGGCAUUUAUCCCUGGAACUGUAAGGCAGCGAGAUUUUGUUUUAAGGCAUGUAUCUCGUGGUUAACAGAUGUAUCCUGUCAGCAAAAAGAGCCCAGCAAGGGAAAGUCAUGGGCUGAGUGCAGCUAUCUCUCCUGUGGAUGAGACCAAGACAGGUUUUCUCUUUGUAGCCCUGGAUGUCCUGAAAUUCCUUCUGUACACUAGGCUGGGCUUAAACUCAGAGAUCUGCCUCUGCCUCCAGAGUGCUGGGAUUAAAAGCAUGCAUCACAACUCCCAGCUACAUUUUGGAAUAUUAAAAUUGCAUUUAUCUCUUGA